GACGAACGCUGGCGGCGUGCUUAACACAUGCAAGUCGAACGGAAAGACCCUGCUUUUGUGGGGUGCUCGAGUGGCGAACGGGUGAGUAACACGUGAGUAACCUGCCCUUGACUUUGGGAUAACUUCAGGAAACUGGGGCUAAUACCGUAUAGGAGCUCCUGCUGCAUGGUGGGGGUUGGAAAGUUUCGGCGGUUGGGGAUGGACUCGCGGCUUAUCAGCUUGUUGGUUGGGUAGUGGCUUACCAAGGCUUUGACGGGUAGCCGGCCUGAGAGGGUGAACGGCCACAUUGGGACUGCGAUACGGCGCAGAGUGCUACGGGAGGCAGCAGUGGGGAAUAUUGCACAAUGGGAGGAAGCGUGAUGAAGCAACGCCGCGUGCGGGAUGACGGCCUUCGGGUUGUAAACCGCUUUCGCCUGUGACGACGCGUGAGUGACGGUAAUGGGUAAAGAAGCACCGGCUAACUACGUG
rnacentral:rRNA from 1 species